GGUUUUGUCAUGUACAGCGAGCAGGGGGGUGGAUGAUGGCUGUUUAUGUCACAGAAAAAAGCAAAUGUCUGUACUUUAAACCACACGUUUCCCUGAAGGUAAACGGCUAAUUUAAGCUGGAAAAGUUUACGAAAAGUAAAAAAAAAAGAAAAAAAAAGCGAAAAAAGAAAACCAAUCUCUUGGGUGUUAUUGUGGCUAGUCUUAUCCUGCUCUCUUGCUCUACAGCUGUUCUAUAGUUCCAGAAGAGUUCAUUUUUAGAAGCUGGUAAUGGGUUGCUGUUACUGAUUGGCCUGUUGUUGAGGUUGUUUCCAUUCACCUUACAGGCACGUCUCUAUGUAAGAUUCUGCAAUGCACUGAACUUCUUUUUUUUUUUUUUUUUUUUUAAACCAUGAGCAGGUUGAAAUAAAAAAGGAUUGAAACACUGAGCCAGCUGUGAUAAUUUGGUCUAGUUCACCCUCUUUUGAUCAGAUGCAUUUUUUGAACAGUUUUCUCUAUGUAUAUACACCUUAAGAAAACUACAGGCUCUCUCUGCUGUAUGGAACACGUUAGCCUCGCUUUUUAUAUCAAAGGAAAGUUCCUCACGUACAGCAGUCCUAACUCCUUUUGUCGCACCUGUUCAAGUCACAAAGUGUUGAGGUCACAUUCACUUGUAAAUUCUGAUUGUUCUUAUCACUACUUAUUACUGUUAUUGAUAUUAAUUAUAGGAUGGCUGCUUUGACUCCCUACUAGCUUGACAACAGCAUUGUAAGAGUUAUGUUAAGUGUUAUUAAGCUUAAUAAUUAUAAACAGGAGGCCUAUCAGAGUCCUCUUGAGGAAUGAAUUUGGGAUUGUUUGAUAGGUUAAGUGACACUUUCUGAUGCCUCGAUCCCUACAUCUUAAAACCCAAAAUGGCUUCCCAGAUUGCUGUUGUGUUGAGAUUAUGGAGUGUCAAGAAUGCCACACUUUUGCAGUGUGUGAUUUUAAGUAUUGAAAAAAUAUGCGGUUAUGUUCCCUCUAAAGAACAUUAAAAGUUUAAUUUUUUAAGCAAUUCAUUAGUAUACUCAGUCAUUUUUUAAAUGAAAUAAAUUUGUUGUUAUUUUAUGAGAGUGGCCAAUCAGAGCUUGUGUCUUGACAAACUCCUUAGACAAAGAGGACAUGGGGUUAAAUGGAAGGAAAGAGGAACAUUUAGUGUCUUGGCAGUAAUUCUGCUUUUUUUUUUUUUUUUUUAUUAAAAUAUAACAGUCAGUUCGUUGUAGCUUUUUAAAAUGCAUUAGUUUAUUUUUACAGUAAACGCCUGUCUAAGUCAUGACUACGAUUUUGGCACGUUUGACACUCCAUACAAACCUCAGCAGUGUGGAGAAGACACUUGGAGAUUAGGGGGUUGGUGCAACAAAAUGAGUAGGUGCAGUUUGCAGAGUGUAGCUGGAGAAGAUGAGGCCGUUUUCUGAGUGGUUAUUCUAGAGCUCUGUUUGUCACUUUGUUUUUCUUUUGACUGCCACUAAGUGCAUGUUGUAGUGUAAGCUGGAAACAGAUUCUCACCCUUUAUAUAGGCUGUAUCAUAUUCUUGACCCUGACUUUUGUUUAAUAUGAUUACUUGUGAUUGUUUAAAUGGUGUUUUUGAACUCGGUAAAAAAAAAAAAAAAAAAAAAAAAACAUAGUCACAUGUUGGCACUACUGCUACGUCUUUAUAUUGUUUUAAGGGAUGAAUAAAUAGACAGAAGUGAAACCACACGUAUAUUAAGUGUUUCGGCCCCCAAAGUGUUUCCACAUGUCCCCUCAGUACUGAAUGACCAGCAGUGGAAGGUCGUUCUUUCACUGCCUCUCAAUGCAGUAAUUACUCGAACAACUACUACUCAGAUAUCUGCCUGUAUGCUGAAUGUUUUCUCUUGUGGAACAUUCUUCCCUGUGCAUGCCCUCUGCUGUGUGUCGUUGCACUGUGAUCGCCUCACACCCGUCUUGAUUGAUUCCUCAUGCAUGCAUGCAUGGUGUCUCAUUCAGAUUUCUGGGCGGUAAAAGCCAAAAUAUGCAACUUUUCUAUUAGAGAUGCUAGCUGUUAGCCUUCACUCUGUCAACUGGGUGGGUUUUCACACAGGCGCUGAGAAAGCAGACAGUGUGUAUGAAGGAUAAUCAGGCCUGCAUACAGAGUGAUAAUGUUGUUCUAUUUAUUUAUUUGAAUGUGACUAAGUUGCAUAUUGUAGCUUUAAACGGCAUGUCGUCAUUUUCAUUUGACUCGAUACAAGCUACUGGAACACUUUUUUUUGUUUAGUCUGUUUAUGUUUGGGGUCAGAUCAACCAAAUGAAAUCAUUUUAAGAAUCCUUUACUUACCUCUUGCCAUGCGUGUGUUUUGGUUGUAUUUAAUUUCUCCUGAUGGGUGAAAACAAGGCUCUUGUCACAGAUCGUUUAGGCUGAAUAAAAUCAGAAUUAGAAGCACAAUUACAUCUGUGACUUUUAGUAAUUCUUUCUACAGAAAAAACAUUGCUGACAGUGUGUUGUCUGCUUCAAAUACAGUAUUUAAAAAAAUCUCAAUGGUGUCAUCGCCAGCUAAGAAGUGUUUUCUUGUUACUUGGCAUAAGCCACAGCACACAGUACAGCAGUUUCUUCUGUAGAAAGAGUCAAUUCAUCUCCACUAGUUUCCUCUGUGUUGUGGUGGAGGUAGAAAUCUGAAGCUGAAGACGAUAAAACACAAGUCUGUUUUCUGGAGGAAUUGUUUGCAAUCAAAUGUACCCGCAUGCUAGACAGCACUGGAGGCAAAUGUAAUGUUCUGAGUAAACUGAUUCUGACCUCACCCCGCAAGUAUUCUGCUUUCAAAGCUCAUUUGCUUUUCAGAUGCACUGCACCUUUAAGGUAAACUUCAGUCCAGGCCGUGCUACCUGUGUUAGCAUGCUACAAAAGGCUAGAUAGAUAAAUAAGUUGGCGUACUUUGUUAGUGUAAUAUAUGAUAUGAAUAAAAGUCGACAUAUUUCCUCCCGUUCCCUCACAGCAUGUUGCUUUUCUUCUUUAUCCUGUUUGUCUCUGUUUUCAUCAGGUAUGGGAGUGUGUGGCAGGAGUGUGUUUGAUUUCUUUUUUUUUUUGUCUUUAGUGUUUUUGCUUUGGACUCUUUACUGAUAUCUAGACAUUGUUCACUAACAUCAGCUCUGUUUUGUAUUAGCUAUGACUUUGGUUCCAAUUUUUGAAGCUUUGAGGAAGAUGUUGCAGGAAAAGAAAAAAAGAAAAUUGAGAAAAAAGUAUGUGGUCUCUGUACUGAUGUCAAAGUGAAAUUAAUAAAAACACCUCAAAGGUCUGUUGCUCAUGGCUAUGUUUGUUAUUUUGAGAUAAAAACAACAUACUUUCUCCCAGUAGGAAUGCAGUGUGGGACGGUGGAGGAUUAAAAAUGCACCCAGAUGUAAUAUCUAUAAUAAGAAGAUUUGACUUGAGAGGCUGCUUUCUGUUAUGGUGUUUGGGUGGAGAGAGGAUUCUAGUUUCUAAUUUUAGAACAGGCCAGUUGUUAGUCACAUGCACACUUGACAUCCCAUUGAAAGCCUGUGUGGUAUUACAUAAUAGAAUCCAAGCCACAUAUUGGUAAAUCUUUAAUGAAACCUUGUCAAGUUAGUUACAGAUGAGCAUACAUUGAGGGCAGUGACUGAAAAUCUAUCUUAAUCUGUUACCAAACUUGGAAAAGUAUAUUUUAUUGACUGCUAUACUUGUUUUUUUUUUUUUUUUGUAGCCAAUAUUUUUUACAUAGUCGCAUUAGUAAGGCCUACAGUUGUUUUAGUAGGUCUUUAAUUUAUUGACAUGUAUAGUACCAGUCAAAAGUUUGGACACACCUUCUCAUUUAAUGAUUUUUCUUUAUUUUCAUGACUAUUUACAUUGCAGAUUCUCACUGAAGGCAUCAAAAUUAUGAAUCAACACAUACAGAAUUAUGUAGUAAACAAAAAAAUGUGAAGUAAGUCAAAACAUGUUGUAGAUUUGAGAUUAUUCAAAAUAUUUAAAAGUCCAAUGACCAUGACUAAUUAUGUGAAGUUACAUGUUAAAUUUGACAAAAAGUCACCAUGUUCAAAAUUAUUCAUACCUUCAGUGAUACCAAGACAGAUAGUCAUAGGAUGUUCAAACAAAGCGUCCUCUCCAAGGUUCUAAAGUCUUUAAUAUUGUUUUCAAUGUUUCUGAGCUGUUGUUUUUUUUUUGUUUUGUUUUGUUUUUUAACCAGUUUUCUGACUGUAAAAGUCGACUUGCUUGUGACAUUUCAGUCAUUUUCAAGUCAACGCAAGACUUGCCAUGGCAAAGACCAAACUGCCAAAUAAUUUCAGGUGCCAGUGGCAACAGUGCUAACUAGUGUCAACAAGACGCACCAAUAAUUUCACACAGUCAAAAACCUCAAAGGAUGUGCUGAAGAAAUGGUUCCAGGACAAUGACAUUAAUGUUAUGAAGUGGCCAAGUCACAGUCUUGACUUGAACCCCAUUGAGAACCUAUGGAUGGAGCUCAAGAAAUGGGUGACAGCAUAGAAACCUUCCAACCUCAAGGAUCUUGAAACAUUUGUGAAGGAGGAACGGUCCAAAAUUCCUGCAGAUGCUUGCAAGAAGCUUGUGAGCAACAACAACAAAAAUCGUUUAGAGGCUGUGAUUAACAGAAGGGGUUUGCAAUUGAUUAUUGCGACACAAUUUUGGACAGUGUGAUUUUUUUGUUUUCACCCUGUUAACCCUUUGAUACGCAGCGUGGGUCAGGAGAUGCCCAUUUUCCAUUGGAUUUAGGUCACUUUGGACCCAUGUUGCGCAUCAAAGGGUUAAAGAUGUUUCUUUACACUUUCUACCUUAAAUAAAUUGGCUAUGGCUUCAGGC